AAACUUUCAACAACGGAUCUCUUGGCUCUGGCAUCGAUGAAGAACGCAGCGAAAUGCGAUAAGUAAUGUGAAUUGCAGAAUUUAGUGAAUCAUCGAAUCUUUGAACGCACAUUGCGCCCCUUGGUAUUCCGAGGGGCAUGCCUGUUCGAGCG
rnacentral:rRNA from 1 species